AUGUUGUAUAUAAAGAUGGAUCCGUUUAAACUGCAGUAGAUAACGAAAUAUUAUCAGCUUUACAAUAGGUAACGAAAUAUCAACAGCUUUAGGCCCUCAACAUGAAGGUCCCGCAAGAGAUUUUAAACUUCCCAUAGUUAAUAACGAAGAAAUCCAAAGACAUAGUUUCUAUGCAGAAUUGAAUAUUUUGUCAAAGAAGAAUGGUAAAACCCAUUGGGCGAAGCUGUUUGAAUCAGCUGUUCUGCUAAAUGCUGUAAAAUACAAUAAUGAAAAUGAAGGUUUCAUGCGUGUCUUGUAUGAUAACAAUGCAUGUCUAGGAAUAGAUAUUUAUUUACCAACACGGUUUAAGAAGACAUCAGAUAAUUUUUUGCAGUGGAGAGAUAAACAACAUGAUGGAGCAUGGGGUUUAAAUUUUGUUUCAGCAAGAGACUUAAAAAAGUUUUACAGGAUGUUUAAGACCAAAAGUCAUACUUCAAAUGCAUUUGAAACUGAAAUACAUACCCCUAAUGAAAUUCAAAUUAUAGAGAAAAUUGAUCUACAGUCUUCUAUUAACAAUAAUGAGGUAGUUCAAAAUUUAAAAGAAAGUAUAAAGCAAAACUAUGACACUAAACCUUCAAUUCGUAAAUCAUUGAUUCCAAAAUGUUCGUCAAGUGAAAUACCUGAAGCAUAUGAUUUCACAGAAUAUGAAUUUUUACAAAGUAAUAACUUUUGCUCAGAAGAAAAUGGAGAUGUUUUGCAGCUUUCAAAAGAAAGUUUAGAUUUUAAUUCCUCUCAAAGAUCAUUGACAUCAAGUCUGAAUAAGUGCUCUGAUGAUGAAGAUUUUCAAUAUGCACGACCAGCUUCUGCUAUUAUUUCAAAUAAACAAAUUGUGACAACACGCAAAGCUGCCUGGUUGUUAGUUAAGAAUGUUCUCCUAUAUUCAAAAAAAGGUAAAUUAGAAGCUUCAAAGCAACAAGCAAGUCAAAAAAAAUGGCAUAAGUAUUGGGUGGCAUUAAAAGGAAUGGAAAUGGCUUUUUAUGAUGCAAAUGAAAAAACUGAAUCAUUGGAGGAUUUAGAUACACCCAGCUUUAGCUUAGAUAUCGAUUGGUGUAUUGCACAAGCCGCUCCUGAAUAUGUUGAUUUAGAAAAUGUGUUUAGUUUAAGCACAAGAUCUGGCUGUUUUUACUAUUUGCAGUCAACUAGUCCAGCUGAAGUAGAAAAUUGGAUACACUGUAUUCAUUCAUUAUGUGCAGGUGUGUUUGCACGAAGAAAAGGUUAUACAAAUAUAUCAUUUCAACUUGAAAAAGAAAUUGAAGAAUUAUAUGAAUGUAUUAAUACUGAUGAAAAUUUAAAAAAGAUGGCUUCUCUGCAGUUACAAACUGAAAAAGAAACUUAUGCAAAGCAGAAGAUAAUAGAUCAGAUAACUUCUUGGGAUAACAGUCUUGAUGCACGAUAUUGUAAUAUGUUCAAAUUAAAGUGCUAUUUGUCAGCAAUUAAUAGUAAGCCAUCUCCUAACCCUCAAGAGCUUUUAAGUCAUAUAUCUCGGUCUUCAAAGCAUGCUUUAUCCAAAAUAGGAAUUUUUUCUGUUAUUUCAUUUCAUUCUUUACUUCAAGUUAAAACUGUAAAUGAAGAAAAAUUAAAGUCUUCAACAAAAAGCUUGAAAGAUAGGUUGAUAUUCUCAUUGAAGACUGAUCAGAGAUCAAAAAUUGACCAAUCAAAAUUACAUUUCAAAAAGAUAAAAGACAACAAGAAAAAUCAAAUUUUCAAUGAAAGUGAUGGAGAAACUUUUUCUUGCAAGCAUUCUAACAUGAAUGGUAAAAAAAAUGCAAAAUUCAAUAAAAAAAGUCACCUUCAAGGUCGUAUUGGUGAUAAUAUUUAUGUUCAAAUACAAAGCAAAUGUUCAGUUAAAAUUCCCUUUGAAGAGAAUCUAAAGAUUUAUGAUCUUUUAGAAAGAGUUUGUAUGAAAGAAAGUUUAGAUUCCCAGAAUUUUUAUUUAAUAUUAAUAACAGAUGAAAACCUUCAUAAUGGUUUACUCGGAUAUACAAUACCUGAUGAACAUGAGCUACUUGAUUCUUUCAAGUAUUCUGCUAUAAAGUUAAAUGCAAAGUUUAUAUAUGAUGUUACUUUGUCAAGAUCUAUAAACAUUGAAGAUAAUGGACUUUUUGGCUUGAAACUUUUGCAAUCUGCAGAUAGCAUUAUUGUGCAAGAUGUUGAAGAAGGAAGUCUUGCACACCAAUCUUAUGUUUUAAAAAAUGAUGAGCUAAUUCAAAUUAAUGGAGGAGAUUUAACAAAUAGUUCAUUUUAUGAUAUUUUGCAUAUUAUUAAAACAUCAGCAACUAUAAGAAUGAGAUUUCGUUCAAGGAGAGUUGAUGAUUCGAAAAAAUUAACUCAAACUACCGAAAAUAUGAUAAACUUUUUAGUCUGUCCUCUGCCUCCCAAAUGUGUACAACUUGAUUUAACUGAUGACCUUUUGAAAAGUUUAAUUGUUCCACCACCAGAAGACUUUGAUGAAUCAAAAAGCAAAAUAUCUUCUUCAUUGAAAAUUUUGACAUCAAUUGAUGACAGUAUUAAUAAAUUUCUAGAGGUUACUGAGCAAGUUAAUAUUCUAGCACGUGAAAUGAAUGGUAAUUUAUUUGAAAAUGCACCAUUAUCGAUGAAGCCAAGCGAAAAACUCAGGAAAUCUAUUUUAGAACUUAUUAAUACAGAAAUUACUUAUACAAAGAAUUUAAAAAUUUUACAAGAAAGAUAUUUGAUACCAUUAAAAGAAGAAAAUUUGCUUACAUCUGAUGAGGCUGAUUUGUUGGUCAAAAAUAUUCGGGAUAUAUACAUGUUUCAAAAAACAUUUUUAGAAAAGCUUCAGGAAAUAAAAAAUAAUGAAAAAAAAAUGGAUGCUUUCGAAGAUGUUAAACAAUUUCAGAACAUAAUUUAUUUGAUUGGUAAAUUAUUUUUGGAAUUUUGUGAUAAAUUUCGUCUGUAUAGCACGUUUUGCUCGUGUCAUUCGAGGGCUGUUAAGUUAUUACAAGUCAAUACAAAUGAAGCUUUAAAAGCGUUUUUGAUUGCUCGCAAUCCUAAACAACAGCACACUGCAUCUCUUGAGUCUUACCUAAUAACACCAAUACAGCGCAUUCUUCGAUAUCCUCUACUUAUCAAAACAAUGAUGAAAUACAUGUUGAAAGAUAGUGAAGAAUAUCUUUGUAUGAACAAUGCAUUAAUUAGUAUUGAAAAGGUAGCAAAUUAUAUUAAUGAAAUGCAAAGAAUCAAUGAAACAUUCACUCCCUUAUUUCAAGACUUGGCAAAACGAUGUCCAUAUGUUGAGGGUCAGCAUUUGGCAAUUCCAACCUAACUGCCUAACUAAAGGUGUCUGACUUCAGCUCUUUUUGACUGACCUCCUUCCUAUAUUGUUAUGUUGAAACCUUUGUGUUAAAAAUUUUGUGCCAACCUGAUACUGACCAAGAAUAAAUUGAGAUAACAGCUUGACGUCACACUGAAAUAGCUUGCUGCCGGGGGCUUCAGUACAUACAUAGACUAUCUUAUAGCCUGCUGCAGCAGCAAGCUAUAAGAUGUAUCACUACAUCGACAGAGAGUUUGGUAUUGGGCAGCAUUCUUUUCUUUCAUUAUUCUUCUUUUUUUGAAAAUGCCGUAUAAAUUAAUGUUACAAAAUAAGGGUAACAAUUU
rnacentral:misc_RNA from 1 species